CUCUCCCUCCAUCCGGUCUUCAAGUAAUCGGGCCUUCGACUUUGCUCAUGUUAGGAUGAGAUUUUCUUCCUGUUCCUAACAAGGCUGUGGGGGCACAUAAGGACCAUUGCGAGGGCCUCUCCCCCCAUCCGGUCUUUAAGUAACCAGGCCUUUGACUUUGCUCAUGUUAGGAUGAGGUUCUCCUCCUGUUCUUAACAAGGCUGUGGGGGCACAUAAGGGCCGUUGCAAGGGCCU
rnacentral:lncRNA from 1 species